UACGAAGGGGGCUAGCGUUGCUCGGAAUGACUGGGCGUAAAGGGCGCGUAGGCGGUUUGGACAGUCAGAUGUGAAAUCCCUGGGCUCAACCUGGGGGGCUGCAUUUGAUACGUUCGGACUAGAGUGGGGAAGAGGGUCGUGGAAUUCCCAGUGUAGAGGUGAAAUUCGUAGAUAUUGGGAAGAACACCGGUGGCGAAGGCGGCGACCUGGUCCUUGACUGACGCUGAGGCGCGAAAGCGUGGGGAGCAAACAGG
rnacentral:rRNA from 1 species